CGUUGCGAAGACAGCAACAGCCAAUCAGAGCGUGACGAGGGAGAGAGCGCCACUCAACACCAGGAAGUACGGCACUGUGCAGAGGAUAAUGGAAGAGAUGAGGAGUUGCAGAUGCACUGUCUCUAGGGGAGGUGAGGCUGAAGGAACUGCCUGGCUUGAUUGCUAACCGAGCUCCCGUCAACCUCAUACAGGGAAUACUGGCCCUGCACAGAGGAUAGCAGUGGUACUACGGGAGGUACUGUAUAUAGACGUGAGGAGUGGCCAUGCUGCUCGCAGGAUACUGCAUCCUCAGCUACACCUGCAGCUACCCACAAAUCAUUAAGUGUGUGCAUGUGUUUGUCAAUUCAAACUCUUUAAAGAAAAUCUUUCUUUAAUGACUGCGUUUUCCCUCGAUAGAGGGAUCGCUGGAGGAAGUACCAAAUAAAGGCUAGAAGAGCUAAAGCUAUGGCGAGUUCUCUACAUAGAAUCAUCUGUGAAUGUGAACAGAGGCAACACUAAGGUGCUGAGCGAAAAAGUCUCAUUUCAGUUUUAAGUUUCAUGUCUUCUAGUCUAGACCUUAUAUAUACACUAUAUAUACAAAAGUAUGUGGACACCCCUUCAAAUUUAUGGAUUCGGCUAUUUCAGCCACACCCG